AGCUCACUCGCUUCUUGCAUCAACUACUUACUGCAUCUUACUGUCUUAAAGAAAAACUCGUAAGGCUACAGUGCCAACGCACAUUCAUCGCACGCUUGUAAAGUCUGCGAGACGAGGUUACGAUGCUCGACUUCGAGUCUGCCCCAAGUUGGGCCUCGGCGUGCCUAUGGAUCCUCGGUCUUCUUACAUUCUCGGUUAGUCUUUCGAUCACACGCUAGCCAUUUGAUCGACACUGCAUGCCGCUUGCACUUAUGCCGUUGCAUGCCGUGCUGGAUCGAAUAUCUUGCAGGAAACCUGCGUGCUUUUUGGCGUGUGGCGGGUUUUAUGUCACGACUUGUCAUUUAAUAGAAGUCUCUAUAGAGCCGAGGAUGGUUGAGCAGAUUUGCUUUAAUCUGUUUUUUCGUUCACGGUGACCUUGUCACACAGGUGUUCCUCUACGGUUGGCACCCCGUGGCAUGGUGGAGACUAAGGAGAAUUCCUGGUGAGUGUUUCGUCCCAUGUAUCAAUCGUGAUGAGCAAUGGACACUGUGAGCAAGCAUAGAGCCCGUUCCCAUCCUCUUGAGCCAGACGUCACCUUUGCCUUGGUUGUUCAGGACCCAGAGGGAGAUGGAUGUUGGGGAAUCUACCAGAAAUCAUCCCAUCGG
rnacentral:lncRNA from 1 species